GACGAACGCUGGCGGCGUGCCUAAUACAUGCAAGUUGAGCGAUGAAGAUUGGUGCUUGCACCAAUUUGAAGAGCAGCGAACGGGUGAGUAACGCGUGGGGAAUCUGCCUUUGAGCGGGGGACAACAUUUGGAAACGAAUGCUAAUACCGCAUAACAACUUUAAACAUAAGUUUUAAGUUUGAAAGAUGCAAUUGCAUCACUCAAAGAUGAUCCCGCGUUGUAUUAGCUAGUUGGUGAGGUAAAGGCUCACCAAGGUGAUGAUACAUAGCCGACCUGAGAGGGUGAUCGGCCACAUUGGGACUGAGACACGGCCCAAACUCCUACGGGAGGCAGCAGUAGGGAAACUUCGGCAAUAGACGAAAGUCUGACCGAGCAACGCCGCGUGAGUGAAGAAGGUUUUCGGAUCGUAAAACUCUGUUGGUAGGGAAGAACGUUGGUGAGAGUGGAAAGCUCAUCAAGUGACGGUAACUACCCAGAAAGGGACGGCUAACUACGUG
rnacentral:rRNA from 1 species